GACGAAUCUAUAUGGAAACGUAUAGGGUGGAACGGGUAAACCCCACAAGCGAGAAACCCAAAUUUGGUAGGGGAACCGGCUGGAAUGAAACGAAAGGAAAGCUGGAUAGCAUUGCUAUAGAUAAAUGACUGUCACCACGUAAGUGGAACAGAACAUGGCUUAUGAUU
rnacentral:RNase_P_RNA from 1 species